GCAGCAUCUGGAUCAGCUGCAGCUGUCUGAUUGAUUUUUUUAGAUAGGGCCGGGUCCGGACUGUAGAGGGUCACACUGGGACACCAGGGCAGGGUCCUGACUGUAGAGAGCAGAUCAGGAAGAGUUGGAACCACAGGAGGAUCGGCUGGUGGAUCGGAGUGUUGUCAGACAGGGUUGCAUAGUGGUUGGAGAGUCGUAGGUGAGUGGUGAGAUCUGUCUGAGUGUCUCUUGUGACUGUGGACCACCACUUCAGUCCAGGAUGACUGAUGAUUGGAUGUUAAGCAGGAGGAGAGCUGUGGACAGGUGGAGGGGUCCCACAGAUCCUGGAUGGUUGCACUGAGAGAGGUCAUCAGUUUGGACUGUGCAGAGGCCACGUCCAUGCAGCUGGACAAGAGUCUUUCUUCUGCAAUUCAUCAGAAAGCCAUUGAAUAUCCUCCUUAUGCACUGGUUUGACUGCAGGACUUAAAGGAUCUGAGAGAGAAAAAAAGUGGACAAUGAAGAACAAGUUUGUCUUCGUGUUAGAUUCCACAGUGAGGACACAGACAGGGUGUACAGGACGGACAGGAAGCGGCGUGCUGGGGUCAUGUGACAUCCUGCAGAGCGUGAAGACAAAGCGGUGGGAGCUGCUCUGUAUACAGGGCCUCUGCUCCGGUCUACUUAGCAGGACACACUGAACAAUGGAGCUGCAGAUUGAGGUCAGUGUGUCACAGAGCUCAGGUCACUGCAGGCCGCUCCACACCAGCUGGUCUCCAUGGAAACCAGUGGAUAUUAUGAGGGAAACGUAGUCUUGAGUGGUUUCUUAGAGCAGACGCACCUGCUGAGGAUUACUGAACGAUCUGACUCAAUCAGACACAGCGAGCAAAGUUUCUCUGAGGUCACCUUAAAUCUCAGAUUCACACCCGGAUGUACCUGCCGGAUUUAUGACAUCACAACCAGCUUGGAGCCAAUCGUGUUCCAGUAUGCAACUGACACAUGUGACGUUGAAACUUGAAGCCUCCAGAGCACAAACACUGAGAUGGACUUUACAGUGAAGGAGGAAACAUCUGGUGUCCAGCAGGAAAACUUUACAUAUUCAAAGAUUCUGGAUCUUUAAAUGAAGACGAAGGAGCCGAUGUUUAAAGAUCCGCACCAGACAUGUUUAUAUGUUUAUACUGUAUAUAAAAUACUCUACUUUGAAUAAUAAU